CUAUGGGCGCAGCAGGCGAGGAAACCUUUGCAAUGUGCGAAAGCACGACAAGGUAAUCCGAGUGUCUCCUGCUAAAGGAGUCUUUCGUCAGUUGUAGAAUCACUGGUGAAUAAGGGGUGGGCAAGUUCUGGUGUCAGCCGCCGCGGUAAAACCAGCACCUCGAGUGGUCAGGAGGUUUAUUGGGCCUAAAGCAUCCGUAGCCGGUUGCAUAAGUUUUCGGUUAAAUCUAUGCGCUUAACGUAUAGGCCGCCGAAAAUACUGUGCAGCUAGGGAGUGGGAGAGGUACACGGUACUCGAUAGGAAGGGGUAAAAUCCUUUGAUCUAUUGAAGACCACCUGUGGGGAAGGCGGUGUACCAGAACACGUUCGACGGUGAGGGAUGAAAGCUGGGGGAGCAAACCGGAUUAGAUACCCGGGUAGUCCCAGCUGUAAACGAUGCAGACUCGGUGAUGCAUUGGCUUGUGGCCAAUGCAGUGCCGCAGGGAAGCCGUUAAGUCUGCCGCCUGGGAAGUACGUACGCAAGUAUGAACUUAAGGAUUGGCGGGGGAGCACCACAAGGGGUGAAGCCUGCGGUUCAUUGGAGUCAACGCCA
rnacentral:rRNA from 1 species